rnacentral:tRNA from 1 species
GCCGGCCUAGUAUAGUGGUUAGUACAGUUCGUUGUGGCCGAUCAAACCCAGGUUCGAUUCCCGGGACCGGCA